UUUUUCCACAUCACUGAGUGCCUGGGGUCGUUUUUUCUCCCUCUGUAAUUAGGGCUUGUUCUUCAUCAUUAUCAUCAUCACCACUAGCCCGUUGACUUAGGUCUGCACAAGUUCUUCUAUUUUCCUGACUUUCUGCUCUCUUUUUUUUGGGGAGGAGUGGAGAGAUUUAAUAGGACAGAGUCAGGUAGAGAAAGGGAGUGAGGGCAGUGGGCUGAAGCGCUACAGGCUAUUAGGCUGACAUUUCUGCCGGACAGAUGGAACUGCUUAAAGACUAUCAUGCAAUGUUUUUUUUCGAAUCCCUCCCCUUUCCCGGCAAAUGUCUAUCUUUUAGCAAAGGAUCCACUAAAGCCAACCCCCCCCCCCACAAAAAUGGACACAGGGUGGUCACUUUUACUGACUGCCUUACUUGACACUGCUAAUAUAUUUUUUUUUUUAUCUAGACAAAGUCUGGACAUUAUGUGGAGGAAUUCAAGGCUGUGUGUAGCAAUGCUGUCCAGAAGACAUUUCACGCCUUUUAAAAUUGUAUUGAGGAUAACCAGGUCUUCAACUGGAGCCAACAGCUCUGAAUCCUCCUCAGCUUCCAAUCCACCAUCCAGGCGCCAGCUCCCACUGCCUGUCAGGCCCUCCUGGGCUCUCCUUACAACUCACUGCCAGGUACAGGACACUGCUCUCUCUUUCUGUGUGUGUGUUUGCAUACGUGUGUGUCUUUGUUCAUCCUUGCAUGUUUGUAUGUAUGUGUGUGUGUUUGAUUGUUUGUGUGUGUGGGUGUGUGUGUGUUUGAAUUUAUACGCUCGUGCUUUAAUUAUCCAUAUUCAGUCGUCACAAAAAUAGAGCAAUGAUGAAAUAAAUAAAGGUGUUUGGUCCUUUAAGAUAACCUGCCAUUCAACUGACAAGCUAGCCUGCGUCUUUGGCCACAUCUCUCCCUGUUAAGUUUCAUGUAUUCAUAAUGGAUGUCCUAGUCUCUCAAUAUGUUGAGCCCCAGGUGAGCGCAGCAGCAGUCAGAAACAAUUACCUUUGCAGUCUUUACUUCCUCCACCCAACCUCGUGGCCACACCAGAGAGAAGAAGAAGAAGAAGAGCAAAGACUCAUGGUCAGUCAGUCAGUCAUUUGCGGGGCUGUCACUCUGCAUCAGGCUCUGUUUCCGUGACGACAGGCGCUGAUGGGCGGCGUGGGUAACCCGCGGUGAUGGGAGGCCACUGUGAUAUGUAAAGCAGGGUGUCUGGACAAUGGCUGAGCUGUCAUCGGUGCAGCCAGGCUGAGCUGGGAGGAAUGCAACGGGGUCAACGAAAAUGUAUGCACAUUUGACAUUUCCAAACUCAUUUGCAUAUGUACACAUUGUUUUUUAAUUUUCUUUAAUUAUCCUUUUUUUGUUCAUCCCCUCUUCCAGUUUAGCGAAGUUAAAGUGCUCUUUGGUUGUUCGUUUUUCACCACCCAUUUGAUUUGGAGCUUGUGAGAGGUAGGUGGACUGACGUGUGACUGUCCCUCCUUUGAGCAAUCUCUCCAUGGCAAUACCAUCUCUCGACCAGGUUCCUCUUUUUGCCUACCCAGAAUCCCUUGCUCUUGGGUUCCCACCUGUCCCCAGAGCAUGGAGAGCAAGGCACAGCUGUGGACUGUGUUGGGAGAUACUACAGUAUAAGGACACUUCUGACUUGCAAAAAGACUAACCAAAAUCUAAAAGUGACCCUAUCACGAUGUCAUGACACCAGGGUUCUUCAUCACAAUGGCUGCUUGCCACAUCCCCUUGUGCUAUGAACAGUAGCAUCACCAUUUCAGAAUCUGACCAAACUGAUGUUUUAUGUUGACCUCCUGCUCUGUUUCCUCUGGAACAGCAUCGUAAUACAAUGAAAAAUAAUACACACAACUGUACAAUAUGCAUAGCUUAUAAGUGUAAUAAACUGCUUUAAUAUGGUUUCUGUAAUAUCAUGCACAGGUACAUGACCUUUGUUCCGCUCACAUUGGUGAUAGACUCAUGUCUUUAUGUUUGGUUCAGUUGUCUCUGUGACAUUUUGAGGCCGCAAUCUAAAGAAAUACCCAAAGUACUAGUUUGGAACUACAUGAAUUUGAUUCUGUUUGAAUUCAAAUAUAUGUACACUGUGUUCUUAUAUUCUUUGUUGCUGUAAAUAUUGAUUGAUAAUACUUAGCUAAAUGUACGGUAACUUUUUGACAUGACUUGUUCUUGCCUUGUUUGAAUUCAUCUAAAUCUAUAAAUAUUAUAUUAUUUAAUAGUAUGAAAAUGUAUGCACUCACUACUGUAAGUUGUUCUGAAUAAGAGUGUCUACUAAAUUACAAAAAAAGUAUUAGAUAAAAAAUAUAUAUAUAUAAACUAUGGAAUAAAUCCAUUACAUCCUUCACAAACUUUAUGAAGUAUACUUUGAUGUAAGGUGUUCUUUUUUACAGGCUGUAUACUUGUUCCGUAUGCUUUUAUUGCAUCCCGUUGGUGCCCCAUGUGUAUUCCUGUGCUACAGCAGUACUUUCAUCCCAAUACAUGGUAAUACAUAUAGACAUUUAUUGUUGUUUGUUUAAUUUGUACAAUAGUUUAACCUCCACUAUUAGUACUUAAAGUGAUCACAUUUCCGUCGGCCAAGAUGGUUAUGUUAUAGCUACUUUCCCAGCCAAGCUGUCAUGUGCUUGCUGAGGCACUUCUCAAGGUUCUGUCACCAUUUCUAUUUGUACGACCUACAACACAUCAGCAUUAUACAACACACAUACUAACACAAAACACGAACAACAGUGGCACAUUGGUGACAGAGAUUCGGCGUGUCUGGAGAGAGACUUGUUCACCCAGUGUUUGGCAGGCCCCAGCCUUGGCUGUCCCACACAAUCUGUGCUCAUGGUCUUGGCAGGUCUCCCUGACCCACCACCACCCUCCCCUCAUCCCCAGCCCCUUCCCCUAUCCCGAC